CACCACUCAAGCCUCGCUUGGUGUUGGGCGUCUGUCCCGCCUCUGCGCGUGGACUCGCCUCAAAGUCAUUGGCGGCUGUUCCCCUUCGGCUCGUAAGCGCAGCACAGUCAGCGCCCGGAGCUCUGGUGGAUGGCGUCCAGCAAGCUACAUUUCUAG
rnacentral:misc_RNA from 1 species